GCUCAGUCGAUAGAGCAUUAGCCUUCCAAGCUGAGGGUCGCGGGUUUGAGCCCCGUCUUCCGCU
rnacentral:tRNA from 1 species